rnacentral:rRNA from 1 species
GAGUUUGAUCCUGGCUCAGAGCGAACGCUGGCGGCAUGCUUAACACAUGCAAGUCGCACGGUCAGCAAUGGCAGUGGCGGACGGGGUGAGUAACGCGUAGGAAUCUAUCUCUGGGUGGGGGACAACAGUGGGAAACUACUGCUAAUACCGCAUGAUACCUGAGGGUCAAAGGCGUAAGUCGCCUGGAGAGGAGCCUGCGUCUGAUUAGCUUGUUGGUGGGGUAAAGGCCUACCAAGGCUACGAUCAGUAGCUGGUCUGAGAGGAUGAUCAGCCACAUUGGGACUGAGACACGGCCCAAACUCCUACGGGAGGCAGCAGUGGGGAAUAUUGGACAAUGGGCGAAAGCCUGAUCCAGCAAUGCCGCGUGUGUGAAGAAGGUCUUCGGAUUGUAAAGCACUUUUGGCAGGGACGAUGAUGACGGUACCUGCAGAAUAAGCCCGGCUAACUUCGUGCCAGCAGCCGCGGU